rnacentral:rRNA from 1 species
UGGUCAAGUUAUUAAGGGUGCAGGGCGGAUGCCUUGGCACUAGGAGCCGAUGAAGGACGUGAUAAGCUGCGAUAAGCUUCGGGGAGUUGCACGUAAACUUUGAUCCGAAGAUUUCCGAAUGAGGAAACUCACUUAGAGUAAUGUCUAAGUAUCAUUAAGUGAAUACAUAGCUUAAUGAGGGGAACUCAGGGAACUGAAACAUCUAAGUACCUGAAGGAAGAGAAAGAAAUUCGAUUCCGUAAGUAGCGGCGAGCGAACGCGGAUUAGCCCAAACCAAUAAAGUUUUCUUUAUUGGGGUUGCGGACAUAUCAUAACGAAGAGGUAUCGUAAUUGAAGAGGUUUGGAAAGACCCACCACAGAAGGUAAUAGUCCUGUAUGUUAAACGAGAAGACUUCAGAUAUGAUCCAGAGUACCACGGGACACGUGAAACCCUGUGGGAAGCAGGAGGGACCACCCUCCAAGGCUAAAUACUACCUAGUGACCGAUAGCGUAUAGUACCGUGAGGGAAAGGUGAAAAGAACCCCGGGAGGGGAGUGAAAUAGAACCUGAAACCCUGCACUUACAAGCUGUGGAAGCACAUUUCUUGUGUGACCGCGUACUUUUUGUAGAACGGGCCAACGAGUUACGUUAAGUAGCAAGGUUAAGCACUUAAGGUGCGGAGCCGUAGCGAAAGCGAGUUUUAACUGAGCGUUCAGUUACUUGACGUAGACCCGAAACCGGGCGACCUACCCAUGAGCAGGAUGAAGCGAAAGUAAAAUUUCGUGGAGGUCCGAACCCACGAGCGUUGAAAAGCUCGGGGAUGACUUGUGGGUAGCGGUGAAAUUCCAAUCGAGCCCGGAGAUAGCUGGUUCUCCCCGAAAUAGCUUUAGGGCUAGCCUCAAGGUGAGAGAUACGGAGGUAGAGCACUGAAUGUCCUAGGGGGUAUUGCACCUACCGAAGACUAUCAAACUCCGAAUGCCGUCAUCUUAUACUUGGGAGUCAGACUGUGGGUGAUAAGAUUCAUAGUCGAAAGGGCAACAGCCCAGAUCGUCAGCUAAGGUCCCUAAAUGUAAGUUAAGUGGUAAAGGAUGUGGGAUUGCACAGACAACCAGGAUGUUGGCUUAGAAGCAGCCACUCAUUCAAAGAGUGCGUAAUAGCUCACUGGUCGAGUGAUCCUGCGCCGAAGAUUUCCGGGGCUAAAACUUACUACCGAAGCUACGGCAUCAGUAAUGAUGGGUAGGGGAGCUUCCCAUACGGGUUGAAGCAUGACCGUAAGGACAUGUGGACAGUAUGGGAGUGAGAAUGUUGGCAUGAGUAGCGAGAUGUGGGUGAGAAUCCCACAGGCCGUAAACCCAAGGUUUCCAGGGGAAGGUUCGUCCGCCCUGGGUUAGUCGGAACCUAAGCUGAGGCCGAAAGGCGUAGGUGAUGGACAACAGGUUGAUAUUCCUGUACUACCGAUAACCAUUUGAGAGAAGGGAUGACACAGUAGGAUAAGCUAAGCACACUGUUGGUUAUGUGUGCCCAAGCAUUGAGGCAGUCAAAGUAGGCAAAUCCGCUUUGAUAAUGCUGGGAUGUGAUGGGGAGCGAAAUUUAGUAGCGAAGUAGCUGAUUUCACACUGUCAAGAAAAGUCUCUAUCGAGGUUAAAGGUACCCGUACCGCAAACCGACACAGGUGGGUGAGGAGAGUAUCCUAAGGCCAGCGAGAGAACUGUUGUUAAGGAACUCGGCAAAAUGACCCCGUAACUUAGGGAUAAGGGGUGCCACCAUCAGGUGGCCGCAGAGAAUAGGCCCAAGCGACUGUUUACCAAAAACAUAGGUUUCUGCUAAGUCGCAAGACGAUGUAUAGGAGCUGACGCCUGCCCGGUGCUGGAAGGUUAAGGGGAUCUGUUAGAGCAAUCGAAGCAGUGAACUUAAGCCCCAGUAAACGGCGGCCGUAACUAUAACGGUCCUAAGGUAGCGAAAUUCCUUGUCGGGUAAGUUCCGACCCGCACGAAAGGCGUAACGAUUUGGGCACUGUCUCAACAACAGACUCGGUGAAAUUGUAAUUCCGGUGAAGAUGCCGGAUACCUGCGACAGGACGGAAAGACCCCAUGGAGCUUUACUGUAGCUUGACAUUGGGUCUUGGUACUACAUGUACAGGAUAGGUGGGAGGCUUUGAAACCAGGACGCCAGUUUUGGCGGAGCCAUCCUUGGGAUACCACCCUUGUAGUACUGGGACUCUAACCAUAGGCCAUGAAUCUGGUCUUGGGACACUGUCAGGUGGGCAGUUUGACUGGGGCGGUCGCCUCCCAAAAGGUAACGGAGGCGCUCAAAGGUUCUCUCAGUACGGUCGGAAAUCGUACGUAGAGUGUAAGGCAAAAGAGAGCUUGAUUGCAAGACAUACAGGUCGAGCAAGGAUGAAAAUCGGACUUAGUGAUCCCGGUGGUUCUGCGUGGAAGGGCCAUCGCUCAACGGAUAAAAGCUACCCUGGGGAUAACAGGCUUAUCUCCCCCAAGAGUCCACAUCGACGGGGAGGUUUGGCACCUCGAUGUCGGCUCAUCACAUCCUGGGGCUGUAGUAGGUCCCAAGGGUUGGGCUGUUCGCCCAUUAAAGUGGUACGCGAGCUGGGUUCAGAACGUCGUGAGACAGUUCGGUCCCUAUCCGUCGCAGGCGUAGGAAAUUUGAGAAGACCUGUCCUUAGUACGAGAGGACCGGGGAUGGACGUACCUCUGGUGUACCAGUUGUUCUGCCAAGGGCAUGGCUGGGUAGCUAUGUACGGAAUGGAUAAGCGGCUGAAAGCAUCUAAGCGCGAAGCCAACUUCAAGAUAAGAUUUCCCACCGCAAGGGUAAGACUCCAGAAAGACUAUCUGGUUGAUAGGUCGAAGGUGUAAGUGCAGCAAUGUAUUUAGCUUAUCGAUACUAAUAGGUCGAGGACUUGACCAAU